rnacentral:rRNA from 1 species
AUACGGAGGGUCCAAGCGCUAUCCGGAAUCAUUGGGUUUAAAGGGUCCGUAGGCGGGCAAUUAAGUCAGAGGUGAAAUCCCACAGCUCAACUGUGGAACUGCCUUUGAUACUGGUUGUCUUGAAUUAUAGUGAAGUAGAUAGAAUAUGUAGUGUAGCGGUGAAAUGCUUAGAUAUUACAUAGAAUACCGAUUGCGAAGGCAGUCUACUAACUGUAUAUUGACGCUGAUGGACGAAAGCGUGGGGAGCGAACAGGAUUAGAUACCCUAGUAGUCC